GUACACUCCUGCGGGAGGCAGCAGUGGGGAAUAUUGGACAAUGGGCGCAAGCCUGAUCCAGCCAUGCCGCGUGAGUGAUGAAGGCCCUAGGGUUGUAAAGCUCUUUCACCGGUGAAGAUAAUGACGGUAACCGGAGAAGAAGCCCCGGCUAACUUCGUGCCAGCAGCCGCGGUAAUACGAAGGGGGCUAGCGUUGUUCGGAUUUACUGGGCGUAAAGCGCACGUAGGCGGACUAUUAAGUCAGGGGUGAAAUCCCGGGGCUCAACCCCGGAACUGCCUUUGAUACUGGUAGUCUUGAGUUCGAGAGAGGUGAGUGGAAUUCCGAGUGUAGAGGUGAAAUUCGUAGAUAUUCGGAGGAACACCAGUGGCGAAGGCGGCUCACUGGCUCGAUACUGACGCUGAGGUGCGAAAGCGUGGGGAGCAAACAGGAUUAGAAACCCGGGUAGUCCCAUG
rnacentral:rRNA from 1 species